UCUGUACAGAGAUGGGCCCACAUGCAACCUGAAUCAAUGUUUAAAAGUACCAGACAUGAAUGUGGGAAGCCCUUCUCACAUGUGAUUGGGUACCUCCCUGAAUGGGUGUGAGGCGCUUCAGCCAGCUGUGUCAGAGCUUAUCCCCACCCUUUUUAGGUGCGAGAGCCCGUCCAUGUGGGGGUGUGACUGACCAUUGACCCUGAAACCAAUCACUGACCCUGACCUUGGAAUGCUGUCCCCCUCGACAUUCAUUGGAUGGAAUUUUCCCCUGAAUUUCUUGUUCCCCAAUAAAAGCCCACUCUCUGGCGUGCUCUUCCUCUCUCCUGCUGGUCUCUUGUGUAAACCUCCCUACCACAUCAGGUGGCUUGAAGCAGGAGCUGGGAAGGGCCGUCUCUGAGCUGGGCAAGAAAAAGGUAAAUUGAGUUUAUGUGUCUUUAUUUUGAUCUCACUAAUUAACUUCUAUGUUUAGAACCUCUAGUGUGAAGCUAACGUGCUGGUUGUGCAGGAGACAUGAACCCAUCAUAUUCUGCUUGGAAAGAGGAGCUCACUGUGUUAAGUCAGGACCUGCAGCAUGCACUCACUACCCAUCGCCCUCUCGGGAGCACCAGCCAUCUAAAUGCUGAGGACACUUCCAUGGUAGGAUUGGACUGACGCACCAUGUGGAGGUCGAUUCUUUUGGUCUUUGCUCUGUAAGCCUCUUUCCUCACCUCACCACAUCUGUGAUGAGAGCUCAUGAGGAAGUGAAGGCCUUGCUUUGCUAGUCCCUGUGGGCUCCAGGGUUUUGAUCCAGGCCUUUGCACCUAGCUCUGCAAUAUACAUACUGGUGCAAUUCUAGUGAAGGCAGAAAAAAGAUGACAGUUAGUGGGAGGAGAAUUUUAUUUCAAUUAUUAAAGAAAUCUGCUUAUCUUCAUUCAUUCAUCAAACUGGCAAACGUAUUGAGAAUGUGGUGCCCGUAACACUCUUGCUUCUUCAGUUUAUUAUACAGACUGUUUCCGCGUCCUCCCCAAGAAGGUGAGUUUUCAUCUGCUGAGCAUUUAAAAAUUGGCUCAGAGAAAAGCACAGGAGGGAAUAGCAGCCUUCCUCUGGCAGAGCUUGGCCUGUGUGGCCAGGGCAGCAGCAUCCUAGGGAGCUCUCUGCCUCUAAAGAGCAAAGCAUGCUUUUUUUUUUUUUUUUUUUAAUCGAAAUGCUUGAAGUUCUUUAGGCCAAGAAGUACUUUAGCUUAAGGUUUAAGGUAUGUACUCCACUUACUUCACUGUGUCUGAGGGAAAAAGGAGAAGACACCUGGAGGACCACUGUGGUGAGAAGGAAGGCCGCCUGGGGAUACUAGCUUCAAGGAAAAAGACGUGUCCUCUCACCAAGAGCCACCCACCCCACAAAGGACAAGCAGUGGUGAGGGCAGGAGUUUAGGAAAUUCCUGAGGCAGUGCUACCAAGUAAGAGCCACAAAGAGUGGAGGCAGGUCACAGGCAGGUCUCCUUAGUGGCUUCACACCUUGGCUUCCGGCCAUGAACUUGCUGCCUGGACCAGACAGGACCUUUUCCCUGCUGGGCUCAUGACAGCGAGUCUUUGGUCACUACCGAAGCCUCUAGGGAGUGUGGUGGGAGAGAGCUGUGAAGCCACAGUCCCCGCAGAGCCUUUCCCCAGAGGCCCCUGCUCCUGCAGGGCUGACAAGGGUCCCUGCAGCACCACCCAGCCAGGUCAGAGGACUCUCUCAGACCACUACAUAAUGGCCAGAUGGCAUCCACACAAACACCGGUUACCUGGUUUAAAAGCCAGGUAGGUUGUGUGUAUUGGCCAGGCCGCUGUGGGCAGUGUGGAAAUCAGUCUGUAAGUAGUUUUGUAAGCAUCUCCCUGCAAACCCUGGGAGGAAGGUCCUGUGAUGUUUUUAGGAAGCAAAUAUAAUACAAAUGUGAAUUCUUUUUUACUCAUUUAAAUAUGUAGAAUGGUAUUCUCUUUACUAGGGACUCCAAAGUGUUCAACCGGUAAUGGGUUUUGUUCAUUUUUGUUUUUGUCUUUUAGUUACAGAAUAUAACUAUUAGGGUAUGGUGGCCCUUGCCUAUCAUCCAAUGACUCAGGAGCCAAGGCAGGAGGAUGGCACAUUCCAGGCCAGCCUCAGCAACACAGUGAGACCCUGUCUCAUAUUAAAAAAAAAAGGGGGGGUGGGGGUUGGGGAUGAGGCUCAGUGGUACAGUCAGACCCUGCUGUCCACCCUCACCCUUCUCUCUGUGCAUCCUCCUUAAGCAGUCUCCUCAGUGCCCUGGGUUUUAUUGCUAUCCAAACGCCUAAAGAGGCACCUUUCAACUUUAGGGGCACCCCAUCUCCAGCGGCCUCCUGAGAAGCAUCCUCAAAUUCCACGCUGUGACUGAAGCCAGGUCUUUCUUCACUGUGCAGUUGAUACCCCAGGAUGCGAGUCAAGUGGCUUAACUAGCUCUCUCCUGCGCCUUCACGUGGCCAAGGCUGAUUCUGAAUCUGGAUGCCCUCAGACCUAAAUGUGGUACAGUGCCCUGGGGUCAGAACCCAGAACAGACAGAAAAACUAUUUACAGAAAUUUUAUAGGUUUAUUUGCUGCCCCCCCCCCCGCCCAUCCAAUCAAGCCUAACGCUUCCCAUGGUCUUAACUGUUUCAGCUUUGAAUUCUCCUAACAACAGGAUGUGGAAAUGUAAACUUGGUGCUGCGCAAGAGCUGCUUUUCCUCACUGUUCUGCCGGAGCCACCAGGCUCUGUCCUCCUCGCUCCAAGCACUCUCAUUGGCGUCCUCUCCCCCUUGCUCUGGCUGAUUUAUAGGGAACAAGGGGGCCCUGCCUUCCCAGCAGCAGACCCUGAGCCCUGGGCCCCACACCCCGCCCCCCUUCUCCCACCACAGGUCUUCUCCUGAGGUGGGACUGGAGCCCAGCCUCCCCCAGGAGCCAGCCAGUCACUUACCUUGGCCUCGGCCUCUGUGUGUCCCCAGCAGCCCUUCUCCACGGCUCACUCUUCACAUUUAGUCAUGCCUCGUUCACUCUCAGCUUUAAAAGAAAUUAUUUUUCUUUCCCAGUUGUUCUCAGCUCUGGCUUCUCAUUAAGACCACCUGGGAGAGUUUAAACAUGUUAUAGAGCCCACACUGUACCUCAUAACAGCUAAGUCACAAUUGCCAUGGGGAGGGACUAGGUGCCAAAAAAUUUUUCAUGCUCCCCAGGUGAUUCUAACUGCAGCCAGCAUUAAGAAACGAUGGUCUAAAUUAACCGUCCCUUUAGCUACCCCACCUGUCCUCCCUCAGGGUCAGACUUGACCGGCUGACUUCUUUCCCACUGCUCUGCCCCUCUGCCUCUGGAGUGCGCUGGCUCCUCAGCCCUCCAUGCCCCACCACCUCCCACUGCCUCAAAGUCCCAGAAGUUUUCAUUGGUAAGUCCCCCCCCCCACCUCCCACUGCCUCAACAUCCCAGAGGUUUUCAAUGGAAGUCCCCCUUUUAAGAUUACCUGAUCCCCUCCUCCCCCAGGGAUUGAACCCAGGGACACUUAAGCACUGAGCCAUAUCCCCAGCCCUAUUUUGUAUUUUAUUUAGAGACAGGGUCUUGCUGAGUUGCUCAGGGCCUCGCUAAGUUCCUGAGGCUGAUUUUGAACUCUGGAUCCUCCUGCUUCUGCCACCCCCGUCCCAGCCACUGGGAUUACAGGCAUGUGCCACCGCGCCUUGCUCAUUACCUGACUUGACUUGGCAGCACUGACCCUGCUGACCACCCUCACCCUUCUCUCUGUGCAUCCUCCUUAAGCAGUCUCCUCAGUGCUCUUGGUUUUAUGGCUAUCCAAAUGCCUAAAGAGGCACCUUUCAACUUUAGGGGCACCCCAUCUCCAGCGACCUCCUGAGCAGCACCCUCAAAUUCCACACUGUGACUAAAGCUAGGCCUUCCUUCGCUGUGCAGUUGAUACCCCAGGAUGUGAGUCAAGUGGCUUAACUAGCUCUCUCCUGCACCUUCACGUGGCCAAGGCGGAUUCUGAAUCUGGUUGCUCUCAGACCUAAAUGUGGUCUGAAAAUCUGAGCACUUUAAUUCUGUAAGGUAGACUGAAAUAAAUGGUCUUAAUGAAAAGUUCUGGUAAUACCUGUUACAAAUCUCUGUAUCUGUAGGUACCACGAGCAUACUAAAUAUCUGAAAAUGUGUUCGAACUUACUGCACAGUGCUUACCCUUAAACUCUACUUAUUUUCCCUUCCUAAAAAGAAUCAGGCAGCUGUUCAUCAAUUUAAGGAGGCCCACCCUUCAGCUCUCUGGUACCACAUCAGUCAGGAGCAACGUGGUCCGUAUGUGGUGGGAGACUUACAGAAAAAAAAAAAAACGAUCCUGGUGAUGAGACUGCUGGCUAAAAGUGUUUCCUUUCAGAUGUUUGUUUUCAAAAGGGGUCUUUUUUUUUUUCCCCAAAUUGAAGUUCUACAAGCAGUUUUUCUUGACUUUUACUAAACCACAGUUUCUGAAGUUCCAGUGACCAGUUCUGAGAGAGGCUGUUUUUUCCACAGGAUCUUUCUGUGGCUUUUAGGAGUUCUCAGGGCGAAUGGUCUGAGUACCAGUCCUGGCUCCUUUUCCUUUGGCCAUCUGCACAUUUUGCAUGCACAGGAGCUGUUGGCGUGUGUGUGUGCCCAACCCUUUGCAUCUGGAAGAGCAUGCUUUCCAAGGCAGGCCCAUUCAAGUUCUAAAGGAGAGGGUGAGCACUUGGAGGGGCUCCAGCCUCUCACUGCAGAUGGUGCUGCUGUGGCGGGGAGUGGGUGCCGUUCACAGCUCCUCAUUAGCUGGGUCUAUACCCCAUGGAACCCUUCCUGCUCUUAAAUGGACGACAUUGGCUCCGUGCAUUGAGUAUUCACGAGGAGCUUUCAUGUGGUACCAAGUGGUAAAUUCAUGAGGAAAACACAAAGCUAGUUUUAAUGAAUGCAAAAUAAUGUCUGCAUCCCUUUGCUUGCAACUUGAAGCAAAAAAUUACAUCUGAAGGCUAAAAGCAAUGCCAGUAUUUGAUAAUAAUGAAGAAUUAUCGUCAGGCUUUCUUACUUGCUGUGAAAGAGGGAACAAUAACAAUAGGCUGGUUACGAUCUUGGGGUGUCUCAAUCUUUUCCACUUAGCUCCACAAAAAGUCAACUGUCAAUGGGAAGUGAUGAUAUAUAUGGGUUACUGCCUGAGAAGGUUGCUAGAUGGAGAGGCAGUGUUUGAUCUAAGAAAGAAGAUUUCAAAGAGGCUGGAGUGGCUGGGGAGCAUUUGAAACGUUUCAUUUUGAAUUCAGGGUUUGGGUUUUAGUUUUGUUUUUGUUUUUGUACUAGGGACUGAACUCAGGGUCACUCAACCACUGAGCCACAUCCCCAGCCCUGUUUUGUAUUUUAUUUAGAGACAGGGUCUCACUGAGUUGCUCAGUGCCUCACCAUUGCUGAGACUAGUUUUGAACUCCUGAUCCUCCUGCCUCAGCCUCCUGAGCCACUGGGAUUACAGGUGUGCACCACUGCACGCGGCUUGAAUUCAGGUUUUUUAAACCCAAUUUUGUACCAAUGAAUCAAAGUUGCAAUAAAGGUUGGGAUCAAGAACAAACUCACAUCUGAGUAUGGUGGCACACGCCUGUAAUCCCAGCAGCUCAGGAGGCUAAGGCAGGAUGAUCUGGAGUUCAAAACCAGCUUCAUCAAUUUAGCAAGGCCCUAAGCAACUCAGUGAGACCCUGUCUCUAAAUAAAAUACAAAAAGGGCUGGGGAUGUGGGUUAGUGGCUGAGCGCCCCUGAGUUCAAUCCUCGGUACCAAAAAAAAGGAACAAACUCACCAGCGUCUGAUUUUGACCCUGAACUCCAGACACAGAGAAAUCGUGUUUGGGAACAGAGGCUGACAGCUCCGGCCAGGCCAGGAAACCAGGCGAAGGGGACAGAAUGACUUCUGAAAAUCCCAUCCCCUUAUCCCCCUCUCCUCAGUGCCUCGGCACGGCUUUUCUCACACAGCUGACACUCAUGUGUAUCUAUUAAGCAGAAAUGAUUGGCGGUCUAUGCAGCUGACAAAGAAUUCCCUGAAAGAGCCAAGAGAGACUCAGAGAGGCAAAGAGGAAGGAGAAGUAGCUGGCGUAACAGAUCCGAGGCGAUGGGCACAGCAGGCCUCCACCUCAGGUCAAGAGGUGAGAACCACAGUGACCCCGACCACUUGCAAGGAAAGGCAGAGUGUUUGGGUAGGGAACGUGAGCUACCAAGUCAUCCCCUUUCACCUGCGAGGGAGUGCCAGCUGGCAGGCCAUGGCGUGAUAGUACCCCCAAGUGUCUCUUGAGUCGUGAUGUUUGUCCACGUACUUCUGAAGCACUAUGUUGCCAUGACCACUACUCACACUGUGGGGAGAUGCCUUCAGAGGAAGCACAGGAAAAGUAGGAGACGGUUUGUGCAUUGUUAUAUAGAAAUUUGAGCUUUCAGACAAGCUGGUAGAAAAGGUAAUCAAAGGGUAGCUCUUCAUUUAAAAUGCAUUUCCCUUGAUAAACGUUUCUAAGAACCAUCUGCUAUUCAAAAAUGAAGGCUAAUGAAAAGUCUUAUUUCUAAGUCAUCCUAGGGGCUAUUAGAGAGUGAUUAGGAUAUGGAGUUGUGUUAGUCAGCUUUCUGUUGCUGUAACAGAAUACCUGAGAAAUUCAGCUUGAAGGAAGAAAGAUUUGUUUUUGGCUCAUGGUUUCAGAGGAUCCAGUCCAUGGUCAGGCAACUCUACUGCUCUGGGCCUGAAUGAGUCAGACUCUCAUGACUUUCCUCAGACAGAGCACAGGAAAGUUACUCAGCUCAUGGCAUCCAGGAAGCAGAGAGAGAGAAAAGUUUCAAGGGACAAAAUCUACCCUUCAAAGACAUACCCCCAGUGACCUACCUCUUCCAACCAGGCCCCAUCUCCUAAAUCUUCUACCACCUCCUUAAUAUUAGUGUCACCUGCUGUGGACCAACCCAUCAACACAUGCGCCUUUGGGGGAGAUUCCCAAUCCAAACUCUAACAAAAAGAUACCAGGAACUAAUAGAGGAGGUGAGAUUGCCCAGGGAGGGGUAUAGAGAAAAGAGCAGAGGGCCUGAGCGGACCAGGUGAACAUGGGUAUCUUGGAGCAGUGAAGAGUGAAGGGCCGUAAAGCAGGCAGGAGCAGCUAGAGAGGUCUGGAGGAGCUGGAGGAGAGACCACUCAGCAAUAGGGACACCAAGAGCAUUUUGAGGUAGGGAGUGAGUUUCAAUGUUAUGGUAAUGAACUUCAUUGAUUCACUCCAUUACAGUAUUUUCUUUAGCUAUUUAGCUCCUUAAAGCUUCAAAGAGUCCUGCACCCACAUUGAUAUUUCUGGGUGUAGCAAUCUACCCAGAGAUUGUAAACUCUGAAUAGUCUACCAUGCCCUGCACCCUAAAUCAAGGAUUGAAUCACAUGGGCUCCCAGCAGGCAGAGGUCUGAGCCAGGUGAUGCUGGAGGCCCUGCCUGGUCCAGGCCAGGCAGGGGUAUUCUCCCAAGCCCCUGCUCUGAGCUCUCCAGAGUACAGGUAUCUCCAUGUAGAAUUCGGUCCACCUUCCAGUAAUCUCAUUAUCUUAAGGCUCUUCCAAGACUUUUACAUCUUUUUAAAAGUAAAGAUUUUAAGGUACAGUGGUGCAUGCCUGUAAUCCCAGCAGCUCCAGAGGCUGAGACAAGAGGAUCUCGAAUUCAAAGCCAGCCUCAGCAAUGAGGAGAUGCUAAGCAACUCAGUGAGACCCUAUUUCUAAAUAAAAUACAAUAUAGGGCUGGGGUUGUGGUUCAGUGGCCAAGGACCUCUGGGUUCAAUCCCUGGUACUACCCCCCCCCCAAAAUAAAGAUUUUUUAGGAUUAUUUCUACCCUAAAAAUACUACCAUUAGAGAACACCUUAGUUACCAAAUAUAUAAGAAGUUGAAGAAAAUCAAUAACUGAGGUUUACUGGGGGUAAAACUGAGCUAGAGCCCAGGUGGAGAAGGGAAAAAGUACUUACACUGACUUGGAAUGAAAGCACAGAGUCAAUUCAGAAUGGAUAUAAUCAUUAUAUCAAGAUCCAGUCCCUAUAAAUGUUUUAAAGUGUCUCUUUUCUGCACUUCUUGCACACACUUAAAAUUUUACUUUUUCACAGCUCAGACUACUUUUUUUUCUGACUUUUUUUUUUUUGUACCAAGGAUUGAACCACUGAGCCACAUCCCCAGACCUUUUUUAUAUUUUAUUUUGAGAGGGUCUCGCUGAGUUGCUUAGGGCCUCGCUAAGUUGCUGAGGCUGCCUUUGAAACUGGGAUCCUUCUGUCUCAGCCUCCAGAACUGCUGCGAUUACAGGUGUGCACCACUGCACCCAGCUGACAACUUUUUAUAAAUGAUUUUAUAUGUCAGUUUUUUUCAUUGGCAUUGCAUAAUAAAAUCAGUUUUCCACUUCAUGAAAAUGUUUUCAUAAAGACUGUUGGUAGUGGUUGCGUUAUAUAAUGUAAUUAGAAAGGUCCCCGAGUUAAACAUUUGUAUUAA
rnacentral:lncRNA from 1 species